AGCGAGGAUGGGUCUGGUGGCUCAGCUGGUCUGCAAAGCCAGUAGCGGGCGGAUAAAACCGUCUGUGGCAGGUUCGAUUCCUGCCCUCGCGGCCA
rnacentral:tRNA from 1 species